rnacentral:lncRNA from 10 species
ACCAAAUGUCUGAACCUGCAGUGCGGUAACAUGGCAACAGAUGUCACUGUUAUCCAUAAUAAGAGUAGUCCUGGUGCAGUAAUCAGGAAAGGAACCCAUAUAGAAUGGGUUGUUGUGAAAAUGUGAAAUGAGGAAGUAGAGAACUGAAGUGGUAGUGGCCCUUGUAUUUGCUGUCAAGGAGAACAGAGAUUGGUUGUAACGUUCAGAAGGAGAGCAAGAGGAGCCCAAAGUAGUGAUGGGCAGUGGUACCUUCCAGUUCAGUAGAAACAUUGUUGUGUCGCUGGGUGGAUACAUUUCUUCCUUUGGAACCAAGACCUCUGAGCCAACACAGCAUAAGGUCAUGAGGAUGGGAAGCAGAAAUUUUUCUAGUGGAUCACUAAAGAUCACUCAUCCUGGGAGAUACCAUCAGCCACGUUAUGAGACUACUCCAGCAGUUCUGUGGUGAGGAAGCAACUUUCCAGCAACAACUCAUUAUCUAUGGGAUUAUGUCACCUGGAAGUGAAUUUUCUAGCCUCAGUCAAGCCUUCAGAUAAUUGCAGCCUCAGCUCACAUCUGACUACAAACUCAUGAGAGAUUUCAAUCCAGAAACACUCAAGCCAGAAACUUC